rnacentral:rRNA from 1 species
UAACGCGUAUGCAACCUACCUAUCAGAGGGGGAUAACCCGGCGAAAGUCGGACUAAUACCGCAUAAAACAGGGGCACCGCAUGGUGCUAUUUGUUAAAAAUUUAUUGCUGAUAGAUGGGCAUGCGUUCCAUUAGGUAGUUGGAGAGGUAACGGCUCACCAAGCCCACGAUGGAUAGGGGAACUGAGAGGUUGGUCCCCCACACUGGUACUGAGACACGGACCAGACUCC